AACGAACGCUGGCGGCAUGCCUAACACAUGCAAGUCGAACGGGAUCCGGACUUCGGUCCGGUGAGAGUGGCGGACGGGUGAGUAACACGUGGGAACCUGCCUUUUGGUUCGGGAUAACCGCGGGAAACUGCGGCUAAUACCGGAUGCUCCCGAGAGGGAAAAGAUUUAUCGCCAGAAGAGGGGCCCGCGUCCGAUUAGGUAGUUGGUGGGGUAAUGGCCUACCAAGCCGACGAUCGGUAGCUGGUCUGAGAGGAUGAUCAGCCACACUGGGACUGAGAUACGGCCCAGACUCCUACGGGAGGCAGCAGUGGGGAAUAUUGGACAAUGGGGGCAACCCUGAUCCAGCAAUGCCGCGUGAGUGAUGAAGGCCUUAGGGUUGUAAAGCUCUUUUACCCGGGAUGAUAAUGACAAUACCGGGAGAAUAAGCCCCGGCUAACUCCGUGCCAGCAGCCGCGGUAAU
rnacentral:rRNA from 1 species